GACAGAGGUGCCAAGCGUUAGGCGGAAUCACUGGGCUUAAAGCGUGUGUAGGCGGAAUGGUAAGUACCUUGUGAAAUCCCACAGCUCAACUGUGGAACUGCUCGGUAGUACUGCUUUUUCUUGAGCCACUUAGGGGCUGUCGGAACAAACGGUGGAGCGGUGAAAUGCGUAGAUAUCGUUUGGAACGCCAAUGGUGAAAACAGACAGCUGGGAGUGUGCUGA
rnacentral:rRNA from 1 species